rnacentral:tRNA from 1 species
GGGGAUGUAGUUUAGCUGGGAGAACACCCGGUUUGCACCCGGGAGGUCAGGGGUUCAAAUCCCCUCAUCUCCA